GACGAACGCUGGCGGCGUGCUUAACACAUGCAAGUCGAGCGGUAAGGCCCUUUCGGGGGUACACGAGCGGCGAACGGGUGAGUAACACGUGGGUGACCUGCCCUUAGCUCUGGGAUAAGCCUGGGAAACUGGGUCUAAUACCGGAUAUGACUCCAUGACGCAUGUUGUGGGGUGGAAAGCCUUGUGCGGCUAGGGAUGGGCCCGCGGCCUAUCAGCUUGUUGGUGGGGUGAUGGCCACCAAGGCGACGACGGGUAGCCGGCCUGAGAGGGCGACCGGCCACACUGGGACUGAGACACGGCCCAGACUCCUACGGGAGGCAGCAGUGGGGAAUCUUGCGCAAUGGGCGAAAGCCUGACGCAGCAACGCCGCGUGGAGGAUGAAGUCCCUUGGGACGUAAACUCCUUUCGAUCGGGACGAUAAUGACGGUACCGGAAGAAGAAGCCCCAGCUAACUUCGUGCCAGCAGCCG
rnacentral:rRNA from 1 species